rnacentral:snRNA from 1 species
UUCCUAUAUAUAUAUCGGGGACAUCCGAUAAAAUUGUAACGAUACAGAGAAGAUUAGCAUGGCCCCUGCGCAAGGAUGACAUGCAUAAAUCGAGAAAUGGUAUCAGAGCAA